rnacentral:lncRNA from 1 species
GAAAGUAUGUGAACGUGGUUUCGUAGGUUCAUUUACGUACCUGCAGAAUAUUCUUGUUCGGCGCGGCGCG